GAUGAACGCUGGCGGCGUGCCUAAUACAUGCAAGUCGAGCGAACAGACGAGGAGCUUGCUCCUCUGACGUUAGCGGCGGACGGGUGAGUAACACGUGGAUAACCUACCUAUAAGACUGGGAUAACUUCGGGAAACCGGAGCUAAUACCGGAUAAUAUAUUGAACCGCAUGGUUCAAUAGUGAAAGACGGUUUUGCUGUCACUUAUAGAUGGAUCCGCGCCGCAUUAGCUAGUUGGUAAGGUAACGGCUUACCAAGGCAACGAUGCGUAGCCGACCUGAGAGGGUGAUCGGCCACCCUGGAACUGAGACACGGUCCAGACUCCUACGGGAGGCAGCAGUAGGGAAUCUUCCGCAAUGGGCGAAAGCCUGACGGAGCAACGCCGCGUGAGUGAUGAAGGCCUUCGGAUCGUAAAACUCUGUUAUUAGGGAAGAACAAAUGUGUAAGUAACUAUGCACGUCUUGACGGUACCUAAUCAGAAAGCCACGGCUAACUACGUG
rnacentral:rRNA from 1 species